UACGGAGGGUGCAAACGUUGCUCGGAAUCAUUGGGCGUAAAGCGCACGUAGGCGGUCCGGCAAGUCGGGUGUGAAAGCCCUCGGCUUAACCGAGGAAGUGCAUUCGAAACUACCGGACUUGAAUACUGGAGAGGGUCGCGGAAUUCCCGGUGUAGAGGUGAAAUUCGUAGAUAUCAGGAAGAACACCAAUGGCGAAGGCAGCUCUCUGGGACGGUACUGACGCUGAGACGCGAAAGCGUGGGGAGCGAACAGG
rnacentral:rRNA from 1 species